GGUUCGAUCAUGGCUCGAUUGAACGCUGGCGGGAUGCUUUUACACAUACCAUUCGAACAGCUUACGGACUUCGGUCUGGUGGCGAGUGGCGAACAGGUGACGUAUCCGGAACGUGCCUGGUAGCGGGGGAUAACUACGCGAAAGCCAGCUAAUACCGCAUACGCCCUUCGGGGGAAAGCAGGGGGACCUUCGGGCCUCGCGCACUAUUAGAACGGCCGAUAUCGGAUUAGCUAGUUGGUGGGGUAACAGCUCCUCGGCGUGAUCCCGUAGCUGGUUUUGAGAGGACGACCAGCCACACUGGGACUGAGACACGGCCCAGACUCCUACGGGAGGCAGCAGUGGGGAAUUUUGGACAAUAGCGGAAACCUGAUCCAGCCAUCCCGCGUGUGCGAUGAAGGCCUUCGGGUUGUAAAGCACUUUUUGGCAGAAAGAAGCAGCACGGGAUAUAAUACCCCGUGCAACUGACGGUACCUGCAGAAUACCUUUCGGCUAACUACGUGCCAGCAGCCGCGGUAAUACGUAGGGUGCAAGCGUUAAUCGGAAUUACUGGGCGUAAAGCGUGCUGAGCGGUUCGGAAAGAAAGAUGUGAAAUCCCAGAGCUUAACUUUGGAACCAUUUUUUUAACUACCAGCUAGAGAGUGUGUCAGAGGAGGUGGAAUUCCGCGUAGCAGUGAAAUGCGUGAUGCGGAACACCGAUGGCGGCGGCCUCCCUGGGAUAACACUGACGCUCAUGCACAGCAGCAGGAGCAAACGGACCGAAUCACCUGGUAGUCCACGCCCUAAACGAUGUCAACUAGCUGUUGGGGCCUUCGGGCCUUGGUAGCGCAACCAGCGUGAAGUUGACCGCCUGGGGAUACGGUCAUAAGAUUAAACUCAAAGGAAUUGACGGGGACCCGCACAAGCGGUGGAUGAUGGAAUUCGUGCAGCGAAAAACCUUACCUACCCUUGACAUGUCUGGAAUCCCGAAGAGAUUUAGGGAGUGCUCGCAAGAGAACCGGAACACAGGUGCUGCAUGACUGUCGUCAACUCGUGUCGUGAAGAUGUUAGGUUAAGUCCCGCAACGAGCGCAACCCUUGUCAUGGUUGCUACGAAAGGGCACUCUAAUGAGACUGCCGGUGACAAACCGGAGGAAGGUGGGGAUGACGUCAAACAUGGCCCUUAUGGGUAGAGGGCUUCACACGUCAUACAAUGGUCGGGACAGAGACCAACCCGCGAGGGGGAGACUGUCCCAGAAACCCGAUCGUAGUCCGGAUCGCAGUCUGCAAGCUCGACUGCGUGAAGUCGGAAUCUGUGUCGCGGAUUAAUAUCGGUGAACGUUCCGGGUCUUGUACACACCGCCCGUCACACCAUGGGGUGGGUUUUACGAAGUAGUUAGCUAACCGUGAGGCGAUUACCACAUUAGGAUUCAUGACUGGGAGUGAAGUCGUAACAAGACAA
rnacentral:rRNA from 1 species